UAAACAAUUUUUUUUUGUAAUUAGCUUUUCAGAGUAGUAUGCAUUUCGAAAAUAGCUAUAUGUGGAGUGUCCUGUGCUCGAAACCUGCCGGAUCAAAAUUAAAAUUGCAGUUGCUCUAGAUAGGUAGCCUGCCUCUGAUAUGAAUUAUAUAGCUCCAUAUAAAUACGGAAUGAUUUUUCAACCGAUAUGCAAAAGUUCCCGUGGCGGUUGGGUCUUUAUCCCAGAAGGAACCGGAUUUUUAAACGGCCAAAGACUGUCACUUGCAAAAUUCCCCAAAAACUACUUUUAAACCCGGUCGCUUUGAUUGUUCGUUAACAUCGCUGACUAAGAGAUGCUCGAUGUUUUGCCUGGACAUGUGAUGAUUCUACACAGCAUCAGUUUCAUAACUGAAUCUAUCAAUCACCACGUCUCGGUAUUCUGUGCCAACAAAUGUUUGCGAUGGGCAUAUAUGUUUAUACACACCCUUACAUGAAUGGAUCCAUAAGGGAUCUCGAUUUAGGUUUAGUUGAGGGCAACAGCAAAGCUACGAAGCUAACGAGAAUGGUUACUCUUAGAGUCGACUUUCCCGGCAAAAGCAUUACUCUAUCGUUUUUGGUAAGGACUGCGGUACUAAUAACUGACGUAUUUUGUGGUGGUGCUGUUUGAAAGACCUCAUGGUGAAAUUAUCUCGGCUACUCAUCCUUGACGGUACUGUUCCCCGAAACAAAGGGUUUCGCAUAUUGAAACCAACAUCUUAUAUAACCCAGGUGAGAGGGUAGCAUUUUGCGAAUUUGUGUUUUACGUUAAGACUUUGGUCGAGCUGUGCUCAGGAACUAGUAAACGUGGUAUCAAAAGAAAAUUUUAAAAAUGUCCAAAUGGGAUUUAGUACUUGGUCGGCCACCUAUAAUCCAACCUAACCAGCCCCUUUUCUGUAAAAUGCAAUUAGUCCAAGUGACUUUGCUUUACUUUUCAGUGUAAAAAAAUAUCCUAAGUCUCGUAAUGAGUCCUUAAAAAACGGAUAUUUUAAUCUAUAUUUUAAAGAUGUUUCAAAGAUUAUAAUUUUAUUUAUAAAAUAUAUAUGUAAAUAUGUAUAAUAUAAUUAAGUAUAUUUCAACUAAUACUUUUGUAUUAACUCGGACUCACAGUCUGUGAUUUUAGUAUACAUAAUCCGUAAGUGCAGAACACAAUUUCCAAAACUACACAACUUUCUUAUGUCUUUUGUUAUAUGUCAAUUAACGAAUAAAUAAAUGUGGAUACGUAUGUAUACAUAUUAUAUAACUAUUUACUAAAAUAUAAG